rnacentral:rRNA from 1 species
GAUGAACGCUGGCGGCGUGCAUAAUACAUGCAAGUCGAGCGAACGGAUGAGAAGCUUGCUUCUCUGAUGUUAGCGGCGGACGGGUGAGUAACACGUGGAUAACCUACCUAUAAGACUGGGAUAACUUCGGGAAACCGGAGCUAAUACCGGAUAAUAUUUUGAACCGCAUGGUUCAAAAGUGAAAGACGGUCUUGCUGUCACUUAUAGAUGGAUCCGCGCUGCAUUAGCUAGUUGGUAAGGUAACGGCUUACCAAGGCAACGAUGCAUAGCCGACCUGAGAGGGUGAUCGGCCACACUGGAACUGAGACACGGUCCAGACUCCUACGGGAGGCAGCAGUAGGGAAUCUUCCGCAAUGGGCGAAAGCCUGACGGAGCAACGCCGCGUGAGUGAUGAAGGUCUUCGGAUCGUAAAACUCUGUUAUUAGGGAAGAACAUAUGUGUAAGUAACUGUGCACAUCUUGACGGUACCUAAUCAGAAAGCCACGGCUAACUACGUG